ACUAAUUGCAGUUCCUAGACCGAAUUGGUAUAACCUACCCUGAUAUACUCUUCUUAAAUUAGCGUGAAAUUAACUUAUGUCUGGCCUGUGAAGGUGCAGGGUUUGUAAUAUACCAGUUUUAAAGUACAAAUUAUGUGGGAGUUGAAAUGAUUGGACCUAUUAUCAUACCUGAUUGGAGAAAACAGGGAUUAGUUUUACAAACUAAAAGGCCUCUAUUGUCAAUUACCCAGAUGAAAAUUCAAGGCCAAAGUUUCUCAUAUAGGGCUGGUAAGGAGCCAGUGAGUGAUGCUUGUG
rnacentral:lncRNA from 1 species